rnacentral:rRNA from 1 species
UGACCUCAGCUCAGUCGUGAAUACCCGCUGAAUUUAAGCAUAUAACUAAGCGGAGGAAAAGAAACUAACGAGGAUUUUCUUAGUAACGGCGAGUGAACAGAAAAAAGCCCAGCGCUGAAUCCUUUAGCAUUAUCGGCUAUAAGGAAUUGUAGCGUAUAGGUGCAACUAUUCAAGCAUUUCGUGCACCCAAAGUCCCCUUGAGCGGGGCCACAGUCCAUAGAAGGUGCUAGACCUGUACGGGUGAUGAUUGGUUUGAUAGGUUGCUCCUUGGAGUCGGGUUGUUUGAGAUUGCAGCCCAAAGAGGGUGGUAAACCUCAUCUAAGGCUAAAUACGACCACGAGACCGAUAGCAAACAAGUACCGUGAGGGAAAGUUGCAAAGAACUUUGAAGAGAGAGUUCAAGAGGGCGUGAAACCGCUGAGAUGGAAACGGAUAGAGUUGACGAAACUUGUCGGUAUUCAACGAAUCAACUUAACAGCCUUACGGCUUUUUGUACUCCAAUUUUUUUUUUGGGGGCAUUGACGUAAGUUUUGCCGUUAAGUAUACGCUUUGAUUUGAUGUAUUUACUGACGGUAUGCGCUGAGAGCUUCGUUAUUGCAUAUUGAUAUGUCAUUAUAGUGGACCAUAUCAAUUUUGAUAUGGAAACCUAUAUGCAUACAGAGAUAUGUCUUUGAUGAAGUUACCAAGUGUACAGCAACUUUCGCUUUUUUGUGCAUCAUUUAUGAUUUUUUGAUCGUUUUAACAUUUAAAUGCGGUCGCUUGCGACUUUGUCAAUUAAUGUUAAACGAUAGAUCAUAAAUUUUUGAUGCGUUAAAAGUUGCGUCUCGGUGUGAACGUCAAUCACCUAUCCGACCCGUCUUGAAACACGGACCAAGGAGUCUAGCAUAUACGCAAGCUAUUGGGUGGUAAACCUAAAAAGCAUAAUGAAAGUAAAGAUCAUCUCGUUAUGAUUGAUAUGUGAUCCGUAUUUUUGGUGUAUUUUUCUGAUACACUUAAAUAUAAAUACGGCGCAACAUAGCCCCGUCUUAAUUGCAUGCAAUGGGGCGGAGGUAGAGCGUAUACGCUGGGACCCGAAAGAUGGUGAACUAUACCUGAGCAGGAUGAAGCCAGAGGAAACUCUGGUGGAGGUCCGAAGCGAUUCUGACGUGCAAAUCGAUCGUCUGACUUUGGUAUAGGGGCGAAAGACUAAUCGAACUAUC